UACCUCUUUAAAAAUGCCAUCCUCGGUUUUAUCCCAAAAGGGUCUACGCCCGCAGAGCAGAAUGUAUGUGAUUACGCCUAUACUCCAUACAUCAGAAGCGGGUCCAGAUUUACGCUUUAAUACUUCAGGCGCUACAUAAUAUGCACUGCCAACGAUAUCGGUAAAUUUCUUUCCUGGUCUUAUGAAGUCUGACAAUCCAAAAUCUACAGCCUUCAAAGCAACCGGAAGGAUCAUCUGUCAUCGAAUGCAAAUAGCGAUUUAACACCACUAAGUUCAUAAUUAACUACAUGGAUUCAUACAUUACUCAAAACAUUAAAGUUAGAUCACUUUUUACAUCCAUUGCUGCAUUUUUCAUGUGACAAACACAUCACAAAACAAAUAUAAGUAAGACGCGAAUACGCAAUCGGGUGAUUUUGAAACCAAUCUUUCUAAAAUUCAACAUUAAGGGUCUAGAAAAUCAUUAAAAAUCCACAAAAAAUUAUUCACAUGAUUCUUGAUCCACAUUACAUAUUUUGAUCAGCAUCUUACAUUUUCAUUUUAAAUACAAAAAGACACAAACUUUAUAACUCCAAUCAAACAACAGACAGACAGACAGACGUUACCUUAUUUUUAUCAAUUUUCUUGACAGCAAUACGAUCUCCACUAACUUUAUCAAUAGCAACAUAUGUAUACCCAAACUGACCAUGACCCAACAAUUUCCCAAUAGAAUACCUCUGAUCAAAAUCUUUAAGGUACCCAAAAUCUGUUCUUUUCCCACAAGAAACCACUCCAUUCUGUCUCCUUGAAGUAACCUUAUUUUUCAUCUUGUUGUUGUUAUUAUUAAUCCUAUGUUGUUGUUGAUGAUGAUUCUUGUGGCCUCCAUGAUGGUUCUUGUUAGCGGUUGUUGUUGCUGUUGCUUGUUGGCGGCGGUUGCUGUUGGAACCAUUGAUCUUUGUGUUUGAAAAACAGAGACCCAUUUGUUGAAUGAUCAAGAUUGAUCAAAAAGUUUGAAUCUUUGACAAAAAGAUUGAAUCUUGUGACAAGG
rnacentral:lncRNA from 1 species